UACGUAGGGGGCAAGCGUUAUCCGGAUUUACUGGGUGUAAAGGGAGCGUAGGUGGAUUGUUAAGUCAGUUGUGAAAGUUUGCGGCUCAACCGUAAAAUUGCAGUUGAAACUGGCAGUCUUGAGUACAGUAGAGGUGGGCGGAAUUCGUGGUGUAGCGGUGAAAUGCUUAGAUAUCACGAAGAACUCCGAUUGCGAAGGCAGCUCACUAGACUGUCACUGACACUGAUGCUCGAAAGUGUGGGUAUCAAACAGGAUUAGAUACCCUGGUAGUCCACACAGUAAACGAUGAAUACUCGCUGUUUGCGAUAUACAGUAAGCGGCCAAGCGAAAGCAUUAAGUAUUCCACCUGGGGAGUACGCCGGCAACGGUGAA
rnacentral:rRNA from 1 species